rnacentral:snRNA from 1 species
GGGCUCUAGGCUUGCUACUCAGGGCCUUCAGUAAGACCCUGCGACUUGAUUUUUGGGAACCCCUGCUCAAGUAGGGGUUA